UGUUCUCUCUCAAGCUAUUUCUUGGUCGCUUCCUCACACUCGCACCACACCCACACACACACUCGCUUUAUCUCUCGUCGUCUUCAAUCUUCCUAGGGUUUUAUAAAUUUGUACCAAAUUCGAUUUGAGCUCCCAAUUCGCCAUCGCCUUGAUUGAAUUGUGUAUGUGUAUCAAGAUGGAGUCUGAUAAUUCGUGGAGCAGUCUCUUCUCGAGCUCUUCGUCGAGGCGGUACCAAUCUCGAUCCGGUCACUUUUCCCAAACUACCCCAGAUCUCUUUCCGCACGACGAAACUGAUGGAGACGAUGAGUUAAAGGCCGAGUUUUUGUGCCCUUUUUGCGCCGAGGAUUUUGAUGUUGUUGGGCUUUGUUGCCACAUCGAUGAGGAACAUCCGGUGGAGGCUAAGAACGGGGU